rnacentral:rRNA from 5 species
AAAUUGAAGAGUUUGAUCAUGGCUCAGAUUGAACGCUGGCGGCAGGCCUAACACAUGCAAGUCGAACGGUAACAGGAAGCAGCUUGCUGCUUCGCUGACGAGUGGCGGACGGGUGAGUAAUGUCUGGGAAACUGCCUGAUGGAGGGGGAUAA